rnacentral:misc_RNA from 1 species
CCGAGUUUCCAACUCCCAAACCCCUGUGAACAUACCUAUCGUUGCUUCGGCGGGAUCGCCCCGGCGCCUCCGGGCCCGGACCCAGGCGCCCGCCGGAGAACCCAAUUCAAACUCUUUGUCUCCGUGAGCAUCAUCUGAGUGAUACAAGCAAAUAAAUCA